rnacentral:rRNA from 1 species
GACGAACGCUGGCGGCGUGCCUAAUACAUGCAAGUAGAACGCACAGUUUAUACCGUAGCUUGCUACACCAUAGACUGUGAGUUGCGAACGGGUGAGUAACGCGUAGGUAACCUGCCUGGUAGCGGGGGAUAACUAUUGGAAACGAUAGCUAAUACCGCAUAAUAUUGAUUAUUGCAUGAUAAUUGAUUGAAAGAUGCUAUUGCAUCACUACCAGAUGGACCUGCGUUGUAUUAGCUAGUAGGUGAGGUAACGGCUCACCUAGGCGACGAUACAUAGCCGACCUGAGAGGGUGAUCGGCCACACUGGGAAUGAGACACGGCCCAGACUCCUACGGGAGGCAGCAGUAGGGAAUCUUCGGCAAUGGACGAAAGUCUGACCGAGCAACGCCGCGUGAGUGGAGAAGGUUUUCGGAUCGUAAAGCUCUGUUGUAAGAGAAGAACGGGUGUGAGAGUGGAAAGUUCACACUGUGACGGUAUCUUACCAGAAAGGGACGGCUAACUACGUG